rnacentral:lncRNA from 1 species
CUGACUGUCUCUGCCCCUGCUCUCCCUCUCCCUUUCUCUUCAGCAGUAACCCUCCUCCCCACCCCCGCUAGAAGAGGGGAAAGGUAGAAAAGCUGGUCCCAGAUUCGCUGCUGGAGUGCUGGAUGGAGCCUUUCUCUGCCCUCUGUGACAUUUCCAAUUUUAGAUAAUGCCUCACAUCUCUGUCCCCCCGGGACCCCCUGGAGCCCCCAUGAUCCCUAAGAAGACAGCUUGAACCUAGAAUUCCCCUCUCCCUCCCUAGAUCUCACCCCCAGGAUGUUGCGGAGGCUGCUGGAGCGGCCUUGCACGCUGGCCCUGCUUGUGGGCUCCCAGCUGGCUGUCAUGAUGUACCUGUCACUGGGGGGCUUCCGAAGUCUCAGUGCCCUAUUUGGCCGAGAUCAGGGACCGACAUUUGACUAUUCUCACCCUCGUGAUGUCUACAGUAACCUCAGUCACCUGCCUGGGGCCCCAGGGGGUCCUCCAGCUCCUCAAGGUCUGCCCUACUGUCCAGAACGAUCUCCUCUCUUAGUGGGUCCUGUGUCGGUGUCCUUUAGCCCAGUGCCAUCACUGGCAGAGAUUGUGGAGCGGAAUCCCCGGGUAGAACCAGGGGGCCGGUACCGCCCUGCAGGUUGUGAGCCCCGCUCCCGAACAGCCAUCAUUGUGCCUCAUCGUGCCCGGGAGCACCACCUGCGCCUGCUGCUCUACC